rnacentral:rRNA from 1 species
GACGAACGCUGGCGGCGUGCUUAACACAUGCAAGUCGAACGGUAAGGCCCUUCGGGGUACACGAGUGGCGAACGGGUGAGUAACACGUGGGUGAUCUACCCUGCACUUCGGGAUAAGCCUGGGAAACUGGGUCUAAUACCGGAUAGGACUCCUGGCUUCAUGGUUGGGGGUGGAAAGCUUUUGCGGUGUGGGAUGGGCCCGCGGCCUAUCAGCUUGUUGGUGGGGUAAUGGCCUACCAAGGCGACGACGGGUAGCCAGCCUGAGAGGGUGACCGGUCACACUGGGACUGAGAUACGGCCCAGACUCCUACGGGAGGCAGCAGUGGGGAAUAUUGCACAAUGGGCGCAAGCCUGAUGCAGCGACGCCGCGUGAGGGAUGACGGCCUUCGGGUUGUAAACCUCUUUCAGCUAUGACGAAGCGCAAGUGACGGUAGUAGCAGAAGAAGGACCGGCCAACUACGUGCCAGCCGCCGCUGUAA